GUGCCCAUCGAUUAGUGGUUAAAUCAGUUCGUUGUGGUGGGUCUGCAAUACCGAACAGCCCCGCGUUCGACUCGCGGUGGGCACA